GCUGGAGUUGCUGGAACAUGGUGUGGAUGGCUUAUGGAAAGCAGAGCGUUACAAAGUAAUUUCUGAAAUUUCCAAGUUGAUCAUUCCAAUUUAUGAGAAUCGUCGAGAGUUUGAGGUAAAUGUCAAAGAAUUUGACCCCAAAUAUGCUCAUAUCCAAGUCACUUAUGUGAAGCCCUACUUUGAUGAUAAAGAACUCACAGAAAGAAAAACUGAGUUUGAAAGAAACCAUAACAUCAACAGAUUUGUUUUUGAGGCUCCUUAUACAUUGUCAGGCAAAAAGCAAAGUUGUAUGGAGGAACGGUGCAAAGGCCGUACAAUCUUGACUACUUCAAACUCAUUUCCAUAUGUGAAGAAGAGGAUUUCUAUAAACUGUGAACAGCAGAUUCAUUUAAAGCCAAUUGAUGUUGCCACGGAUAAAAGAAAGCUGCAGAGCUGCAAAAGCUUUGCUCUUCUGCUGACGUGGACAUGAUUCAGCUCCAACUUGAAUUGCAGGGCUGUGUUUGAGUGCAGGUAAAUGCAGGUCCAUUAGCAUAUGCCAGGGCUGUCUUAAAUGACAGUCAAACUAGCAAGUAUCCACCCAAAAAAGUAAAUGCAUUGAAAGACAUGUUUAGAUAAUACAAGAAGACCCAAUGCAUUCUCCCUGGAUGAGCAACACAUUACGUGUAUUUUGUGCAAUUAGUGGUACGUCAAGUGACCGAAGUUAUGGUUCCCCAAGAUACACUGCUGAAAUAUGAGGACAUGCAGAUGUCAAGUGACAAUAAGACUGAACUUCUCAGAAAUAUUUGGAGCUGUGCAAAUGUUAGAAAUUUAAAGAUUUGUUAUACACAAGAGUGUUUCUUCCUGACACCAAAACUUUCAUGCUUUCAUACAGGGUGCUUACAUAUUUGUAAAUAUUUAAGCAACUUGAA